GGGGUUGUACUGGUUUCGACGGGGAUUUAGAAAUUACGGAAGCCAUUAGUGGACCAGACCACUAUAAAACAUGGAAUUAAAUAUAAACGCAGACGAAAAUUACGCGUACGCUGCCUAAUAUGGCAGCUGUCAGACCUUUGUUCACCGCAGCUUAGGAUUCUGGCAUCGAACGAGCGGUAAACUCUAGGGUGAAAGCUUUGACAUCUUAGAAAAAUUAUGAAGCUACCAAACCUGAUAGCCUGUCUGUAGGCGCUUAGGUAAGGGAAUGUCAAAAUACAGACUGUGAUGGGAGAUGCCGUAAUGGAAGAGUUUUCGGACGCGGGUUCGAUUCCCGCCAGCUCCAC
rnacentral:tmRNA from 1 species